rnacentral:rRNA from 1 species
CUACGUGCCAGCAGCCGCGGUAAUACGUAGGUGGCAAGCGUUGUCCGGAAUUAUUGGGCGUAAAGCGCGCGCAGGCGGAUUGGUCAGUCUGUCUUAAAAGUUCGGGGCUUAACCCCGUGAUGGGAUGGAAACUGCUGAUCUAGAGUAUCGGAGAGGAAAGUGGAAUUCCUAGUGUAGCGGUGAAAUGCGUAGAUAUUAGGAAGAACACCAGUGGCGAAGGCGACUUUCUGGACGAAAACUGACGCUGAGGCGCGAAAGCCAGGGGAGCGAACGGGAUUAGAUACCCCGGUAGUCCUGGCCGUAAACGAUGGGUACUAGGUGUAGGAGGUAUCGACCCCUUCUGUGCCGGAGUUAACGCAAUAAGUACCCCGCCUGGGGAGUACGACCGCAAGGUUGAAACUCAAAGGAAUUGACGGGGGCCCGCACAAGCGGUGGAGUAUGUGGUUUAAUUCGACGCAACGCGAAGAACCUUACCAGGUCUUGACAUUGAUGGACAGAACUAGAGAUAG